UGAGGCUUUUUUAGAGGAGUAUGAUCAGAAUUACAUUGAGCAUCUUUUGAAGGUGCAUAAUUAUCAAAACCUCAAUGACAUUGACAUUCAAAGAGCGCUAUACCAUAGACGCUAAACUCACAGGCAGGCAAUGAGGCAAAUUUGCCGUCUUAGUUACUCUUCGGUGGAGAGACGGCCAUGGGGAAGGUCGACAGUGUUUGCACACCUUGCCUUUUCUUCUGUUUUAUCCCAACCAUGUGACUCUUCGUAUCCCACGGGAGGGAGCUAUGCCCGCGCCCCCUCUGCUGCAUCAACUUCUUUGUGGCCUCGCUGGAGUCAGGGGCGGCAAACCUGGGGAGCAGCAGGCGAAGGUGGCUACUCAGUCUGGCCACCAGAGGGCGCUAGAAAGCGACAGCGUUCACCAGGCCAGGUCGUGGCCAUCCCUGACCCGCAGAGCUCUCUGGGUUCAGACCCCGGCUGUGCUAAGUCCAGGGGCGAAACCUACCCAGUCAUUCCGCUUGCUGCCUGCUUCCAGACUGCUCCUGUGUCACAGGCGAGUGGUCAGGACUGUCCUCCACUGGCCACAGAGCCUCCCACCUCCACUUCCUCCAAGGAAGGAGAGCAGCAUGGGAGGGCAGGCCUGAGCCCUGCUCACUGGGGAGUUCUGAGCGUCCUCACCACCACGAGACCCCCGAGACCCCCGGUACCCGUGGGGCGGCCGCGGGGUGGGGAGACUCCACCUCCACUUCCUGGAUUGGCUGGGGGAAGGUGUGGCCCCAGCUGCAGGAGGCAGAGGGGACAGUCCCAGGCAGAGCUGGAAGUCGAGGGGCAGUGGCAAAGGCAGACUGGGGCCCACCAGCCACGGGCCCCCUAGAAACAGGAGUCGGAACUUGAUUCAAGUGGCCACAAGGAACCAGAGGCAGUGUGAGGGGCAUUGACAGGGACAUGGCCAGAUGUGAGACACCGUAGCUGCAUGGGGCAGGGGGAGACAGUGAGGCACUCACCUCUGCCCCCCGGGGUGCUCCUUUG
rnacentral:lncRNA from 1 species